rnacentral:rRNA from 1 species
AGGGUUCGAUUAUGGCUCAGGAUGAACGCUGGCGGCGUGCUUAACACAUGCAAGUCGAACGAAGCACUUUAUUUGAUUUCCUUCGGGACUGAUUAUUUUGUGACUGAGUGGCGGACGGGUGAGUAACGCGUGGGUAACCUGCCUUGUACAGGGGGAUAACAGUUGGAAACGGCUGCUAAUACCGCAUAAGCGCACAGCAUCGCAUGAUGCAGUGUGAAAAACUCCGGUGGUAUAAGAUGGACCCGCGUUGGAUUAGCUAGUUGGUGAGGUAACGGCCCACCAAGGCGACGAUCCAUAGCCGACCUGAGAGGGUGACCGGCCACAUUGGGACUGAGACACGGCCCAA